rnacentral:rRNA from 1 species
CCUACGGGGGACUGCAGUGAGGAAUAUUGGUCAAUGGCCGCAGGGCUGAACCAGCCAAGUCGCGUGAGGGAUGACGGUCCUAUGGAUUGUAAACCUCUUUUGUCAGGGAGCAAAGGGCGCCACGUGUGGCGCUUUGCGAGUACCUGAAGAAAAAGCAUCGGCUAACUCCGUGCCAGCAGCCGCGGUAAUACGGAGGAUGCGAGCGUUAUCCGGAUUUAUUGGGUUUAAAGGGUGCGCAGGCGGAAUGUCAAGUCAGCGGUAAAAUUUCGGGGCUCAACCCCGUCGUGCCGUUGAAACUGGCGUUCUUGAGUGAGCGAGAAGUAUGCGGAAUGCGUGGUGUAGCGGUGAAAUGCAUAGAUAUCACGCAGAACUCCGAUUGCGAAGGCAGCAUACCGGCGCUCAACUGACGCGCAUGCACGAAAGCGUGGGUAUCGAACAGGAUUAGAUACCCGUGUAGUC